GCCGGGGUGGCGAAAUGGCAGACGCAGCGGACUCAAAAUCCGCCGGGGCGACCCGUGAGAGUUCGAAUCUCUCUCCCGGCACCA
rnacentral:tRNA from 1 species